UGAAUGGAUAGAUGUGCUGUUUUGCC
rnacentral:piRNA from 1 species